UACGUAGGGUGCAAACGUUGCUCGGAAUCAUUGGGCGUAAAGCGCACGUAGGCGGCCUGACAAGUCGGGUGUGAAAGCCCUGGGCUCAACCCAGGAAGUGCACUCGAAACUGCCAGGGCUUGAAUAUGGAAGAGGGGUCGCGGAAUUCCCGGUGUGAGAGGUGAAAUUCGUAGAUAUCGGGGAGGAACACCAGUGGCGAAGGCGGCGAGCCUGGGCCGAAUACUGAGUGCUGAGGUGCGAAAGCGUGGGGAGCAAACAGGG
rnacentral:rRNA from 1 species